AAACGNAUACAUACUCAGCGGGCGAACGGGUGAGUAACACGUGUGGUAAUCUUCCUCCGAGUGUGGGAUAACUUUCCGAAAGGGGAUCUAAUACUGGAUAGUCCCGAGAGGUCAUAGGAUCGGGCGGGUAAACAUUUAUUGCUCGUGAGAUGAGCCCGCGCCCUAUUAUCUAGUUGAGUGACGUAAUGGCUCUCCACUGCGACAAUCGGUACCCGGACUGAGAGGAUGAUCAGCCACGUUGGAACUGAGACACCGUCCAUACUCCUAGCUGAGGCACCUGUUUUGAAUGUUGCUCACUGGCGGCAA
rnacentral:rRNA from 1 species